GUUCUGCCCCUGCUUCUGGUUUCGCAAUUGCCAAAGUCUCUGCCGCCAUGGGUAUUGCCGUUGGGGUUGUUGGAAACCAACGAUGGAGCUGCCCGGAAACCCUAUUGAUGUAUGCCCUGGUCUUUGGUCUGUGUUCUUCUGAGUACCAGAGCUGCUGCUCCAUUCCAGUAUUUCUUUUGGUUACUAUUAAAUUUCCUUCCAAAGUUGCUGUUGCUGUUCCCGUGGGGGUUAUUGUUAUCACUGUCGCCAUGAAUUGAAAGAAAAGGAAAUUAUCACGAUUAGUUACGAGGACUCAGCUAACUGAGGUAGGAGUUUUCUUAAAAUUUAUUUUAUAAUUCAGAGUUGUGAUAAAUAGAUAUUGAUGCAAAAAGAUAUAUUUCUGUGAUUAUAUUUGUCUUGUGGAUGUGAUGGUUAGUUGGACUGGAUUAUUGGAUGCUUGAUUGCGUGAGUGGUGUAUGGUUGUUGAUAAAAACCGGUUUGAAAUGUUAUUUGCUUGAUUAGUAUGAAAAGUGGAUUUUUCUUGGUUUUGGAGUUUACUUAGUAAUAUAAAUGAAUCGAUUCUGAGGGCUGGUCUGAUUUUAUAAGUGAACUACUAUUUGAGCUGAUUUGAUUUUAAAAAGAGUUUUACUAUUGGAAUUGGUUUGAUUUAAAAAUAAUUUGGUAUUGGAACUGGCUCAACUCUGGAAAAUGUUUGAGAUUUGGAUAUGGUUGAAAAAGAUUUGAGAAAUGUUUGGAUGGGAUCCGAAAAGGGUGGCAGUGUCCGAGUUUUAGAGGAGAUGCUGCCGAAAUUUUAUAAAAUUGGAAGUUCCACUUUAAGUAUUAUCUGAAAAGAUUUGGUUUAAAACAUUACAUGUCUUAAGGUUGAUUUAUUUAUCAAAGAAAGAAAUAUGUUUUGAAUUGGGGUUGUUAGUGAACGGAAUGGAA